rnacentral:rRNA from 1 species
AGUGAACGCUGGCGGUAGGCCUAACACAUGCAAGUCGAACGGCAGCACAGUAAGAGCUUGCUCUUACGGGUGGCGAGUGGCGGACGGGUGAGGAAUACAUCGGAAUCUACUUUUUCGUGGGGGAUAACGUAGGGAAACUUACGCUAAUACCGCAUACGACCUACGGGUGAAAGCAGAGGAUCUUCGGACCUUUCGCGAUUGAAUGAGCCGAUGUCGGAUUAGCUAGUUGGCGGGGUAAAGGCCCACCAAGGCAACGAUCCGUAGCUGGUCUGAGAGGAUGAUCAGCCACACUGGAACUGAGACACGGUCCAGACUCCUACGGGAGGCAGCAGUGGGGAAUAUUGGACAAUGGGCGCAAGCCUGAUCCAGCAAUGCCGCGUGAGUGAAGAAGGCCUUCGGGUUGUAAAGCCCUUUUGUUGGGAAAGAAAAGCAGCAGGAGAAUACCCCGCUGUUCUGACGGUACCCAAAGAGUAAGCACCGGCUAACUUCGUG